GACGAACGCUGGCGGCGUGCUUAACACAUGCAAGUCGAACGGAAAGGCCCUGCUUUUGUGGGGUGCUCGAGUGGCGAACGGGUGAGUAACACGUGAGUAACCUGCCCUUGACUUUGGGAUAACUUCAGGAAACUGGGGCUAAUACCGGAUAGGAGCUCCUGCUGCAUGGUGGGGGUUGGAAAGUUUCGGCGGUUGGGGAUGGACUCGCGGCUUAUCAGCUUGUUGGUGGGGUAGUGGCUUACCAAGGCUUUGACGGGUAGCCGGCCUGAGAGGGUGACCGGCCACAUGGGGACUGGGAUACGGCCCAGACGCCUACGGGAGGCAGCAGUGGGGAUUAUUGCACAAUGGGCGGAGGCCUGAUGCAGCAACGCCGCGUGCGGGAUGACGGCCUUCGGGUUGUAAACCGCUUUCGCCUGUGACGAAGCGUGAGUGACGGUAAUGGGUAAAGAAGCACCGGCUAACUACGU
rnacentral:rRNA from 1 species